AGAGUUUGAUCCUGGCUCAGGAUGAACGCUGGCGGCGUGCCUAACACAUGCAAGUCGAACGGAGUUCUUAAGGAAUGCGACUUCGGUCAAAUGACUUUUGAACUUAGUGGCGGACGGGUGAGUAACGCGUGAGCAACCUGCCUUUCAGAGGGGGAUAACAUUUGGAAACAGAUGCUAAUACCGCAUAAGAUUACAGUACCGCAUGAUACAGUGAUCAAAGGAGCAAUCCGCUGAAAGAUGGGCUCGCGUCCGAUUAGAUAGUUGGUGAGGUAACGGCUCACCAAGUCGACGAUCGGUAGCCGGACUGAGAGGUUGAACGGCCACAUUGGGACUGAGACACGGCCCAGACUCCUACGGGAGGCAGCAGUGGGGAAUAUUGCACAAUGGGCGAAAGCCUGAUGCAGCAACGCCGCGUGAGGGAAGACGGUUUUCGGAUUGUAAACCUCUGUUUUCGGUGACGAACAAAUGACGGUAACCGAGUAGGAAGCCACGGCUAACUACGUGCCAGCAGCCGCGGUAAUACGUAGGUGGCAAGCGUUAUCCGGAAUUACUGGGUGUAAAGGGAGCGCAGGCGGGAUAGCAAGUCAGCUGUGAAAACUAUGGGCUCAACCCAUAAACUGCAGUUGAAACUGUUAUUCUUGAGUGGAGUAGAGGCAAGCGGAAUUCCGAGUGUAGCGGUGAAAUGCGUAGAUAUUCGGAGGAACACCAGUGGCGAAGGCGGCUUGCUGGGCUCUAACUGACGCUGAGGCUCGAAAGUGUGGGGAGCAAACAGGAUUAGAUACCCUGGUAGUCCACACUGUAAACGAUGAUUGCUAGGUGUGGGGGGUCUGACCCCCUCCGUGCCGGAGUUAACGCAAUAAGCAAUCCACCUGGGGAG
rnacentral:rRNA from 1 species